GCCACUUGUGUUCACACAUAAAGGGAGGCAACAAAUUUCUGCUCACAAAGGGGACGAUGAGAAGCUGCCGGGGAAAAAUGCCCCGAAUGUCCUGCGGUGAUGGUCAGCAGCUCUCUGAGAGCUGAUUACCAGCUUGACCGGACAGCCCUGGGCAUCCACGGCAAAAGAGUUGAAGACAGAGAGAUACCAGGGAGACUCUGGACAAACAAGACCUAGUGAAUGGCUUCCAGUUUAGUAUAGUUAGAUUCAACUUUUUGUCCUCCAAUUGUAUUUUUCAUGACUGUGGACUUUUCAUUAAAAUUAGCAUAAACAACAAAACAGACUGGUCUGUUUCUUUGGGUUCUUGUUUUCUUUGCAUCUUCUCAAGUCCUGUAAGUCAUAUCAAAUAAAUCUCCAAAUUUUUCUCUUGCUAACCAGUUUUUUGGCAUGGUGGGUUUAAUCAUGAACCCAGUCAGUAAGUCAGGUGCUUAUGCCACUGAGCUAAAUUCCCAGCCCCGGAAACCAGAGAUGGCAGAGAAGACAUCUUUCUGUCCCCUGCAUCAAAGUGGUGCUGACUGCUGGCUGUCUGCUGCAUCUCUCUGCAGUUCCCUUCGUGCAUCCCUGCACCCAGUGCUCCUUGCAGUUGGCUGUGAAUCUGUUCUCCUGGCUAGGAUGGGAUGAUGCCAUCCUGGGAUCACAGCUGAAG